UCCCUGGUGGUCCAGGGGUAAAGGACUCCGAGCUCCCAAUGCAGGGGGCCCUGGUUUGAUCCCUGGUCAGGGAA
rnacentral:tRNA from 1 species